rnacentral:rRNA from 1 species
UAGGGAAUCUUCGGCAAUGGACGAAAGUCUGACCGAGCAACGCCGCGUGAGUGAAGAAGGUUUUCGGAUCGUAAAACUCUGUUGUUAGAGAAGAACAAGGACGUUAGUAACUGAACGUCCCCUGACGGUAUCUAACCAGAAAGCCACGGCUAACUACGUGCCAGCAGCCGCGGUAAUACGUAGGUGGCAAGCGUUGUCCGGAUUUAUUGGGCGGAAAGCGAGCGCAGGCGGUUUCUUAAGGCUGAUGUGAAAGCCCCCGGCUCAACCGGGGAGGGUCAUUGGAAACUGGGAGACUUGAGUGCAGAAGAGGAGAGUGGAAUUCCAUGUGUAGCGGUGAAAUGCGUAGAUAUAUGGAGGACCACCAGUGGCGAAGGCGGCUCUCUGGUCUGUAACUGACGCUGAGGCUCGAAAGCGUGGGGAGCAAACAGG